GUCCCUGUAGAGUAAUGAAUAGCGCGUUGGACUUCUAAACCAAAGGUCAUGGGUUCGAAUCCCAUCUGGGAUG
rnacentral:tRNA from 1 species